rnacentral:rRNA from 1 species
GACGAACGCUGGCGGCGUGCUUAACACAUGCAAGUCGAACGGAAAGGCCCUGCUUUUGUGGGGUGCUCGAGUGGCGAACGGGUGAGUAACACGUGAGUAACCUGCCCUUGACUUUGGGAUAACUUCAGGGAACUGGGGCUAAUACCGGAUAGGAGCUCCUGCUGCAUGGUGGGGGUUGGAAAGUUUCGGCGGUUGGGGAUGGACUCGCGGCUUAUCAGCUUGUUGGUGGGGUAGUGGCUUACCAAGGCUUUGACGGGUAGCCGGCCUGAGAGGGUGACCGGCCACAUUGGGACUGAGAUACGGCCCAGACUCCUACGGGAGGCAGCAGUGGGGAAUAUUGCACAAUGGGCGGAAGCCUGAUGCAGCAACGCCGCGUGCGGGAUGACGGCCUUCGGGUUGUAAACCGCUUUCGCCUGUGACGAAGCGUGAGUGACGGUGAUGGGUAAAGAAGCACCGGCUAACUACGUGCCAGCAGCCGCGGUGAUACGUAGGGUGCGAGCGUUGUCCGGAUUUAUUGGGCGUAAAGGGCUCGUAGGUGGUUGAUCGCGUCGGAAGUGUAAUCUUGGGGCUUAACCCUGAGCGUGCUUUCGAUACGGGUUGACUUGAGGAAGGUAGGGGAGAAUGGAAUUCCUGGUGGAGCGGUGGAAUGCGCAGAUAUCAGGAGGGACACCAGUGGCGAAGGCGGUUCUCUGGGCCUUUCCUGACGCUGAGGAGCGAAAGCGUGGGGAGCGAACAGGCUUAGAUACCCUGGUAGUCCACGCUGUAAACGGUGGGUACUAGGUGUGGGGUCCAUUCCACGGGUUCCGUGCCGUAGCUAACGCUUUAAGUACCCCGCCUGGGGAGUACGGCCGCAAGGCUAAAACUCAAAGGAAUUGACGGGGCCCCGCACAAGCGGCGGAGCAUGCGGAUUAAUUCGAUGCAACGCGUAGAACCUUACCUGGGUUUGACAUGGAUCGGGAGUGCUCAGAGAUGGGUGUGCCUCUUUUGGGGUCGGUUCACAGGUGGUGCAUGGCUGUCGUCAGCUCGUGUCGUGAGAUGUUGGGUUAAGUCCCGCAACGAGCGCAACCCUUGUUCACUGUUGCCAGCACGUUAUGGUGGGGACUCAGUGGAGACCGCCGGGGUCAACUCGGAGGAAGGUGGGGAUGACGUCAAGUCAUCAUGCCCCUUAUGUCCAGGGCUUCACGCAUGCUACAAUGGCUGGUACAGAGAGUGGCGAGCCUGUGAGGGUGAGCGAAUCUCGGAAAGCCGGUCUCAGUUCGGAUUGGGGUCUGCAACUCGACCUCAUGAAGUCGGAGUCGCUAGUAAUCGCAGAUCAGCAACGCUGCGGUGAAUACGUUCCCGGGGCU